AAAUUGCUGCCUGUGACAUCAAAGCAGAGGAUACUAUGGUGAAGGAGAAAUUAUGGACUUUGAUAUCUCUAAAUGAGCCUUCACUUGUGCAAAUCAGUUUGGCCUCAAAACUUUCGAGUGAAGAUUGUGUAGUAUGUGUUGAGCUUCUUGAGGUGCUCCUCGUGGAACAUUCCUCCAGG